rnacentral:rRNA from 1 species
UGGGGAAUAUUGCACAAUGGGGGAAACCCUGAUGCAGCAACGCCGCGUGAAGGAAGACGGUUUUCGGAUUGUAAACUUCUGUUCUUAGUGAAGAAUAAUGACGGUAGCUAAGGAGCAAGCCACGGCUAACUACGUGCCAGCAGCCGCGGUAAUACGUAGGUGGCAAGCGUUGUCCGGAAUUACUGGGUGUAAAGGGAGCGCAGGCGGGAAGCCAAGUCAGCUGUGAAAACUACAGGCUUAACUUGUAGAC